rnacentral:rRNA from 1 species
CGUGUAGGCGGUUUGAUAAGUUGGAUGUGAAAGCUCCCGGCUCAACUGGGAGAGGUCGUUCAAUACUGUCAGACUCGAGGAUGGUAGAGGGAGGUGGAAUUCCCGGUGUAGUGGUGAAAUGCGUAGAUAUCGGGAGGAACACCAGUGGCGAAGGCGGCCUCCUGGGCCAUUCCUGACGCUCAGACGCGAAAGCUAGGGGAGCGAACG